rnacentral:rRNA from 1 species
GGCUCAGAUUGAACGCUGGCGGAAUGCUUUACACAUGCAAGUCGAACGGCAGCACGGACUUCGGUCUGGUGGCGAGUGGCGAACGGGUGAGUAAUAUAUCGGAACGUACCUUAUCGUGGGGGAUAACGCAGCGAAAGCUGCGCUAAUACCGCAUACGCCCUGAGGGGGAAAGCGGGGGACCGUAAGGCCUCGCGCGAUUAGAGCGGCCGAUAUCUGAUUAGCUUGUUGGUGGGGUAAAAGCCCACCAAGGCGACGAUCAGUAGCUGGUCUGAGAGGACGAUCAGCCACACUGGGACUGAGACACGGCCCAGACUCCUACGGGAGGCAGCAGUGGGGAAUUUUGGACAAUGGGGGCAACCCUGAUCCAGCAAUGCCGCGUGAGUGAAGAAGGCCUUCGGGUUGUAAAGCUCUUUUGUCAGGGAAGAAACAGCAGCUCUAACACAGUCUGCGAAUGACGGUACCUGAAGAAUAAGCACCGGCUAACUACGUG